GAGGGUAUAGCUCAGUGGUAGAGCGCAUGCCUAGCAUGCAUGAGGUCCUGGGUUCAAUCCCCAGUACCACCA
rnacentral:tRNA from 1 species